CACAUUUUCUUUGAAAUAUUCAAAAUAUAUUCAAGUUAUUUUCAAAACUGAAGUUCCAAAUGGCCAUUUGUCUUAUAAUGUUAUUUUCUAAUGAAAAUCUUGGCCAUGACAGUGAGUGGUAUUUUACUGAGGUGUAUGUGUGGUAUGUUCUAGUUGGUAUCACCUAAGUUCAGAAAAGGUGUUGAACACAUCUCUGAAUUUUGCCUGCCAUCUAAUGUAUAUAAAUCUGCUUUUAAUCCCCAAAAAGAAUAUUCAUACUUUGUUUUGUUAGAAAAUUAUCAAAAGUUGGUUGUAGAAAUUCUGUUUAUGAGAACUGUCUAAAACUUGCAAAUCAUCUAUUCCCUUAGACACUUAACUUUAUAUUUAAAUAAUGGACCGCUAAAGUUUGGAAUAGAAUUUUGUUUGCUAAACCAUCCCUUGGGGCUAUAUCUGUAUUAAAUUUGAGAAGGUUUAAUUUUUAGAAAAUCUAACAAGUUUUUACCAUAAGCAUGUUGUCAGAUUUUGCUUAUGAUAUCCCAGUGUCCUUUUUAUGAGGACCAGGAGAGAAGCUUCUUUGAGACUUCAUAUCACAAAUAGCUGGAAUUAACCUAAGAAACUAGUAUCUUUUUACUGUGGGACACUAUGGAACUUACAACUACACUUUUCGCUAUUGUUUGACUGCUAGAAAGAAAAAAGUCAAAUCUGCAAGCCAGUUCUGGCAAAAUUCUUAGAGCAGAUAUUUUUGAUACAAUUUUUACCUCCAACUUUGCUUUCCUCUGUCCUACCCCCAUUCAUCUUCCUCCCUUAUUCACCAUCAAGUUCAAAAUGUGUAUUUUUUGUCAGCUCUGCUAAUUCUGUCUGGAGUGAGCUGGGAGGUAAUUAACUAGUUAAUAAAUUAAUUAUUAGCUACAUUGAGCAACAUGCUUUUUUCUCCUCUUCAGUCCAGUGCUUGCUUUUAUUUACUCCUCUCAUCUAUUCAUGUCUUCUUGUAAUAUGGCUACAGCUUGCCCACCUGCUUCGGCGUGUCUGUCAGGACAAUCUGAUGGGAGUGACCAGUCCCACAAAGCCUGGAACUAGAAGCUGCUGGGCCCUUUCCCAAUGUGGUCACCAACUCAGUUAUCAGCCUUUCUUGAAAGAACAACAUUGAAAUAAAUCCUCAAGGAACAGAGAGAGCCAGUUAACAAGUGAGGUAAUGAUAUAUCAUUAUUUCACAUGCUAGGGGUUGUAAAUGAUUUAAAAGUUUGUUUCUGCAUUUGUUUCCAAGGACCUGACCAAGCACAGAAGAUCUAUAUAUUUAUAUCAGCAACUAGGGUGAACUUAUUCUAAUAGAUAUUUAUUCCAGGAACAGGAAUCUUUCUGUUUCAUAUUGCACAUGAAUAUUAAAUAAACUACCUGCUGGCAACUACACAAUAUUUUAGUCUCUAAUUUUAAAAGUACACUGUAUUUUAAUACCUAUUUUUAAACAGAUAUCAAUUUUUAUGGAGCUGUACAUGAGUUGUUGAUGGAUAAAUCACCCAAGCAUGGUUAAAGAGAGCCUAAUCUCCAGCUGGUACCAGAUCCAUUUAAUUGUAUCUUCUGACCUCACCUCACCUGAGUCUGCAUUAAAAUCAUAAUACAGUUCAAGUGUAAAAAUGAUAUACUGUUUGUUCGCCCUGUUUAUAGAGGGGCGAACAUACAGUUAAAUUCAUAUGUUUAAAAUUAGUGUAGUCAUUUGAAAAGGUUGAGUUAGAUCAAACUGCCUCUCAGCGUUUUUUCUGCCCCUUUUUUUAUUUAAAUGACUCGGCCUCCAUCACCAGAUGUGAGAGGCUGUUAAGGAAGUUGUAGCAGCUUUUCCUGGACACCCAGAAGAUUGCUCCCCUCCAUCAAAUACAGAGAGCUUUCAAGCAUCAUUUAAUAAUGGAAGAGUCCAUUUUUUUUAAUGUGUUCAGUAGGCAAUAGGACAGAAACUUUGGGGCGUUCUAAAUCUUUUACAAACGUAGUAUUUCGGAAUGGCCUAAACAGCAGCUCUUGAGUUUAUCUCCAUUUUCAUUAGGGUGAAAUGCUGUCUUUAGAUUCUGUGGCAGUUUUAUUUUCAUAAGUUAUAGUCCCCAGGUUU
rnacentral:lncRNA from 1 species